UACGUAGGGCGCAAGCGUUAUCCGGAAUUAUUGGGCGUAAAGAGUUCGUAGGCGGUCUGUCGCGUCGGCUGUGAAAUCCCGAGGCUCAACCUCGGGUCUGCAGUCGAUACGGGCAAACUAGAGUAUUGCAGGGGAGACUGGAAUUCCUGGUGUAGCGGUGAAAUGCGCAGAUAUGAGGAGGAACACCGGUGGCGAAGGCGGGUCUCUGGGCAAUAACUGACGCUGAGGAGCGAAAGCGUGGGGAGCGAACAGG
rnacentral:rRNA from 1 species